UACGGGGGGGGCAAGCGUUGUUCGGAAUUACUGGGCGUAAAGGGCUCGUAGGCGGCCAACUAAGUCCGACGUGAAAUCCCCAGGCUUAACCUGGGAACUGCGUCGGAUACUGGAUGGCUUGAAUCCGGGAGAGGGAUGCGGAAUUCCAGGUGUAGCGGUGAAAUGCGUAGAUAUCUGGAGGAACACCGGUGGCGAAGGCGGCAUCCUGGACCGGCAUUGACGCUGAGGAGCGAAAGCUAGGGGAGCAAACGGG
rnacentral:rRNA from 1 species